rnacentral:rRNA from 1 species
UACGUAGGGUGCGAGCGUUAAUCGGAAUUACUGGGCGUAAAGCGUGCGCAGGCGGUUCGUGAUGUCUGGUGUGAAAGCCCCGGGCUUAACCUGGGAAUUGCAUUGGAAACUAGCGGGCUGGAGUGUGGCAGAGGGGGGUGGAAUUCCACGUGUAGCAGUGAAAUGCGUAGAGAUCGGGAGGAACACCAGUGGCGAAGGCGGCUACCUGGACCAGCAUUGACACUCAAGCACGAAAGCGUGGGGAGCAAACAGG